CCGACGACCUCUGCCUCUUCCACUAUAAGACCUAGAACCUUGUAUAGAAGAGACGGUACUUUCAUCAGUGGCAUAUCCUUUCUCUUUUUCAGGCCCUCUGGUGGAAGAAGGUCUGAAACCCAUACCAAUCUGUCGCAGCUGUUCAUCAAUCUGCAGGCGUUCCAUUCUUAGUUGUUCCACUUCCUACAAUCAAAACAAAAAAUCAUGUCUGCUCUUUGUGUGGGUGUGCAUGUACAGUAUCUGACCAUAUGAGACCAGAAGUUAACACCUUUACCCACUGACCCAUCUUCCCCAGCCCAAGUCCUAUAAAGACCAUUAAAAGACAUUCCCAGGGCUGGUGAAACGGCUCAGUGGAGAAGGACACUCCCCACCAAGACCAAUGGCCUAGAGGAGAAAACAUAGCUUAAGAAGAAGAAGAAGAAGAAGAAGAAGAAGAAGAAGAAGAAGAAGAAGAAAAAAAAAAGGAGGGGGGAUUUUAAAACCAUGGAAGGAGAGGAAGAUCUCCCCUACCAGUGGACUAGUGGAGAGGAAUAGAAGAGGGAGGGAGCUACAGCUGGAAUACAAAAUGAAUAAAGUGUAAUAAAUUAAAAAAAAAAAAAAAAA